GACGAACGCUGGCGGCGUGCUUAACACAUGCAAGUCGAACGGAAAGGCCCUGCUUUUGUGGGGUGCUCGAGUGGCGAACGGGUGAGUAACACGUGAGUAACCUGCCCUUGACUUUGGGAUAACUUCAGGAAACUGGGGCUAAUACCGGAUAGGAGCUCCUGCUGCAUGGUGGGGGUUGGAAAGUGUCGGCGGUUGGGGAUGGACUAGCGGCUUAUCAGCUGGUUGGUGGGGUAGUGGCUUACCAAGGCUUUGACGGGUAGCCGGCCUGAGAGGGUGACCGGCCACAUUGGGACUGCGAUACGGCCCAGACUCCUACGGGAGGCAGCAGUGGGGAAUAUUGCACAAUGGGCGGAAGCCUGAUGCAGCAACGCCGCGUGCGGGAUGCCGGCCUUCGGGUUGUAAACCGCUUUCGCCUGUGACGAAGCGUGAGUGACGGUAAUGGGUAAAGAAGCACCGGCUAACUACGUG
rnacentral:rRNA from 1 species